UACGUGCAGCAGCGCGUAUACGUAGUGCAAGCGUGAUCCGAUUAUUGGCGUAAGGCUCGGCAGCUGUUUCUAAGUCUGAUGUGAAAGCCACGGCUCACCGUGGAAGGGUCAUUGGAAACUGGGAGACUUGAGUGCAGAAGAGGAGAGUGGAAUUCACUGUGUAGCGGUGAAAUGCGUAGAGAUGAUGGAGGAACACCAGUGGCGAAAGGCGACUCUCUGGUCUGUAACUGACGACUGAGGACGCGAAAGCGUGGGGAGCGAAACAGGAUUAGAUAUCCCUGGUAGUUCACGCCGUAAAACGAUGAGUGCUAAGUGUUAGAGGGGUUUUCCGCCCCUUUAGUGCUGCAAGCUAACGCAUUAAGCACUCCGCCUGGGGAGUACGGUCGCAAGAGCUGAAACUCAAAGGAAUUGACGGGGGCCCGCACCAGCGGUUGGAGCAUGUGGUUUUAAUUCGAAGCAAACGCGAAAGAAACCUUUACCAGGUCUUGACAUCCUCUGACAAUCCCAGAAGAAUAGGAGCGUCCCCUUCGGGGAGCAGAGUGACAGGUGGGUGGCAUGGUUGUCGUCAGCUCGUGUCGUGAGAUGUUGGGUUAAGUCCCGCAACGAGCGCAACCCUUGAUUUUAGUUGCCCAUCAUUUUAGUUGGGCACUUUAAGGUGACUGCCGGUGACAAACCGGAGGAAGGUGGGGAUGACGUCAAAUCAUCAUGCCCCUUAUGACCUGGGCUACACACGUGCUACAAUGGACAGAACAAAGGGCAGCGAAACCGCGAGGUUAAGCCAAUCCCACAAAUCUGUUCUCAGUUCGGAUUGCAGUCUGCAACUCGCCUGCGUGAAGCUGGAAUCGCUAGUAAUCGCGGAUCAGCAUGCCGCGGUGAAUACGUUCCCGGGCCUUGUACACACCGCCCGUCACACCACGAGAGUUUGUAACACCCGAAGUCGGUGAGGUAACCUUUAGGAGCCAGCCGCCGAAGUGACAGAGCCUCAUACUUUCUUCGUGCC
rnacentral:rRNA from 1 species